rnacentral:lncRNA from 1 species
GUAAUGGGGACUCCCCUCCACCACAGUAGUGUGCAGGAGGAGUGUGUGUAUAAGCUGUUUCCUCAGUGCAGUAGUGCUUGAAACAGUCACAUCCUGGUUGUGGUUACCUGCAGUUUCUCUCGCUGGCUGUUGUCGGCUCCUCUCCUCCCCCCCCGGAGUUCAGUGCGGUUGCGAGCUCCUGCGGGCUCUGGUGGGGCGGAGGGGAAGAAGGAGGUCUGCUCCUCUAGCCGGCCGUUAGGGUGACUAGGGCUUAGUGAGGCUCCGCGGGGGGUUCCCCUUUUCUGUUGCCCCAGGGCCCUCUGGAUCAGCUGGUUCAUUAUACCCCCCGACCAGCAGCGCGGUGCCCCCCCUGCGCCCCGGGGGCUUCAACGAGCUGCGACGACUCCUGGUGCUGGAGGGUGUGCGGGUGCUUGGGGGACCCUGAGUUUGAGGGCGUCGCGCUGGGAGAGAGGGGGGACCGUGAGGCGCGGGUGUUUUGGGAAGAGCCGCGGGGGGCGGGGCGUCGUGUUUCAGGCAGAGGGGGCUGCGCCCGCUGCUGAUUGGUGGCCGCGGUUGCCAUGGCGGCGGCCGGGCUGCGCUUAUAAGCGCUGUCGCGGGGCGGCGGGGCUCACCUGCCCCCGCGCUCCCUGUGCCCUUCUCUCGCGCGGUGCUGUGUGCCCACUCAGGACAGCGACGGACCGUGUCCCCGGGAUCAGCCGCUCACCUUUGCGUUCUUGUGGUCUUUGGUCAGUUAGCGAUCUGCGCCAUGGCUCUGGACGGCUGCGGCUACUGCUGUAAGGUCAUCCUCAUCAUCUUCAACAUCUUCUUCGCGCUCGCGGUGGAUUCGCGUGUCCGUUCCACGCCCCUUUCCGCAGCCUUGCCCCCACGCGGCCGGGGCCUGGCUCUGGUUCCGAGGGUCCAGCCGGGCGUAGCUGGGCUGGACACCCGCGAGGGGACGGCUGGUCGCAACGGCCCGCCCGUGUCAGCCGAGGCGUGGGCGUGGACGGGCUGUGGGCUGGCUUCGGCGAGUUAGUUUCGUUUUUCCCUCAAAGUUUCGUUUUACCCUCAAAGUUUCGUUUCCUCAGAAAUCGCCGCCGCCGCGGCCGGGCUCGGUUUUGCCCAGGGUUACCGCGAUUUCAUUAGAUACCGGUCCAAACACCACUGGACGCGCUGGUGCCCAGUGACCCCCGGCUCGGUCCAGACGCGCUGGUGCCCAGUGACCCCCGGCUCGGCCCAGACGCGCUGGUGCCCACUGCGCUGGGCUCGGUCCAGACGCGCUGGUGC